ensembl:lncRNA
AUUUACUUUGCUGUACGCCUGAAACAAACAUAACAUUGUAAAUCAUCUAUGCUCCAAUUAAAAAAAAAAAAAUCCUGGCAGGGUUGUGAAUGCCAGGCAAAGUUUGUCCACAAAGGGGAACUGGGCACUUGUUUUGAGUAACUGCACUAUGACCUCUAUAUUGUGAAAUGUCCGAGUCUUAAAUAGAGACUGGUUUACUAGCUGUUAGUCAUGUUAUAGCCUGCGGUAUAAGGGACACACUUCCUGGAAAUGUGAUUCAAUAUGUCUGAGGGUUUUUUUAAAAAAUGUAUUUAUUUUUAACUGAAGGAUAAUUGCUUUACAGUAUUGUGUAAAGCACAGUAUUGAGGGACAGAGAGGCCGGACACGCUGCAGUUCAUGGGAUCGCAAAGAGCUGAACACGAAUUGGUGACUGAACAACAAAUUGUGUUGGUUUCUGCCAUGUAUCAACGUGAAUCAGCCAUAGGUAUACAUAUGUCUCCUCCCUCUUGAACCUCCCUCCCACCUCCCACUCCAUCCCAACCCCCUAGGUUGUCACAGAGCCCUGAUUUGAGUUUCCUGAGUCAUACAGCAAAUUCCCAUUGGUAAUCUAUUUUGCCUGAGUUUUUAAAUUUUUUUUAUAAAGUCACACACAUUGAUAGCUACAGAAGCAUUGGAAAUGAAGGAUGGCUUCUGUGUUUGUUUCUCAGUCUUCCUCUCCCUCCCUUUCUCUUUUAAUUGGGAAUCUCGGAUUUGUACUUCAUCAUAAUGUCAGAGGGCAAGGUACUACCACGUUACACAUAGUUUAAUAGCCAGAGUUCAAGAUUAAAACCAUGGAAAGCCAGGAGGUAAGAGUACAGUUUCAUAAUGCUGCUUACUUUUGGCCUUGAACACCAGCUUAUGAUCAUAUUCCUUUUGGCAAGCUCCAAGUUUAACUUUCAAUAAGAAGAGUUAAGUGGUGAAAAUGUGUAAGAUAAACUCAUAAAAUUAAGUUUCUAAAACAAGAAUUAGUGAAGUGAAAAAGCAUAAAAUCAGCUCAGAGUCAGGAAAGCUAGUAAUUUAUAUCCACUUAAAUAUGGUUUCAUUAAACUUUUUUUUUUUUUUUACAGUGUGAUAGUAGGUGGGGUGACAGAUCAGCAAAAUCCAAACCACGUAAUAAAACCAGCCCCACUGAUGAAAGAGAAAAGUUCACUAAAUGUUGAUCAAAAUGCUUUUCUCUCUUCAGGAUAAACUCAUUAGAAAAAUCAGACUGGAACCAUAUGGGCUGAAGUUUGACCAAUGAGCCAUGGACUGAAUUAAAGGGACAAGCUGUGUUGCCUUUUCUCCUUAUAGGAUCUUGAGGAUUUGACUGUGAGCAUGAUGACAUCAUUCCACUAUGUCCUACGUGGGAUCCCCAACUGCUGACACCAUCUGCUCCUGAUAUCCACCUGUUGCCAUUGUCCUGGCUUGAUGAUCCACGAUCACCUGGAAUAGAUGACCCUCCUUCUGAGUUAACAGUCACAGAGUCAGUAGUUCUAAUGCUAUGUCACAGUGGCUAUGUUGUUCAUGUCACUUCAUCUCAUCAUAUAGGCAUUUUAUUGCCCUACAUCAUCACAAGAAGAAGGGUGAGUACAGUGCAGAAUAAGAUACUUUGAGAGAGAGAAAGGGAGACACAUACCUCCAGAGAAAGAGAGAGAGGGACUAUAUUCAUAUAACUUCUAUUGUAGUAUACUAUUAUUAUUUAUUAUUAAUUACUGUUGUUAAUCUCUUACUGUGCCUAAUUUAUAAAGUAA